GAUGAACGCUGGCGGCGUGCCUAAUACAUGCAAGUCGAGCGAACGGACGAGAAGCUUGCUUCUCUGAUGUUAGCGGCGGACGGGUGAGUAACACGUGGAUAACCUACCUAUAAGACUGGGAUAACUUCGGGAAACCGGAGCUAAUACCGGAUAAUAUUUUGAACCGCAUGGUUCAAAAGUGAAAGACGGUCUUGCUGUCACUUAUAGAUGGAUCCGCGCUGCAUUAGCUAGUUGGUAAGGUAACGGCUUACCAAGGCAACGAUGCAUAGCCGACCUGAGGGGGUGAUCGGCCACACUGGAACUGAGACACGGUCCAGACUCCUACGGGAGGCAGCAGUAGGGAAUCUUCCGCAAUGGGCGAAAGCCUGACGGAGCAACGCCGCGUGAGUGAUGAAGGUCUUCGGAGCGUAAAACUCUGUUAUUAGGGAAGAACAUAUGUGUAAGUAACUGUGCACAUCUUGACGGUACCUAAUCAGAAAGCCACGGCUAACUACGUG
rnacentral:rRNA from 1 species